rnacentral:rRNA from 1 species
GCCUAUACUGCAGUCGAACGCACAGCGAAAGGUGCUUGCACCUUUCAAGUGAGUGGCGAACGGGUGAGUAACACGUGGACAACCUGCCUCAAGGCUGGGGAUAACAUUUGGAAACAGAUGCUAAUACCGAAUAAAACUUAGUGUCGCAUGACACAAAGUUAAAAGGCGCUUCGGCGUCACCUAGAGAUGGAUCCGCGGUGCAUUAGUUAGUUGGUGGGGUAAAGGCCUACCAAGACAAUGAUGCAUAGCCGAGUUGAGAGACUGAUCGGCCACAUUGGGACUGAGACACGGCCCAAACUCCUACGGGAGGCUGCAGUAGGGAAUCUUCCACAAUGGGCGAAAGCCUGAUGGAGCAACGCCGCGUGUGUGAUGAAGGCUUUCGGGUCGUAAAGCACUGUUGUAUGGGAAGAACAGCUAGAAUAGGAAAUGAUUUUAGUUUGACGGUACCAUACCAGAAAGGGACGGCUAAAUACGUGCCAGCAGCCGCGGUAAUACGUAUGUCCCGAGCGUUAUCCGGAUUUAUUGGGCGUAAAGCGAGCGCAGACGGUUUAUUAAGUCUGAUGUGAAAGCCCGGAGCUCAACUCCGGAAUGGCAUUGGAAACUGGUUAACUUGAGUGCAGUAGAGGUAAGUGGAACUCCAUGUGUAGCGGUGGAAUGCGUAGAUAUAUGGAAGAACACCAGUGGCGAAGGCGGCUUACUGGACUGCAACUGACGUUGAGGCUCGAAAGUGUGGGUAGCAAACAGGAUUAGAUACCCUGGUAGUCCACACCGUAAACGAUGAACACUAGGUGUUAGGAGGUUUCCGCCUCUUAGUGCCGAAGCUAACGCAUUAAGUGUUCCGCCUGGGGAGUACGACCGCAAGGUUGAAACUCAAAGGAAUUGACGGGGACCCGCACAAGCGGUGGAGCAUGUGGUUUAAUUCGAAGCAACGCGAAGAACCUUACCAGGUCUUGACAUCCUUUGAAGCUUUUAGAGAUAGAAGUGUUCUCU